AGUUGUGUUGUGUGGACUAGAGGUUGUGUUGUGUGGACUAGAGGCUGUGUGGACUAGAGGUUGUGUUGUGUGGAAUAGAGGUUGUCUUGUGCUACAGGUAUCCUGGAGAGUAGAAGGACAUAUGUAGCGUUUCAUCUUACACAUCUGUACAGUAAAUGUUGAUCAUGAAAAUAUUAUGAAGGCAGUGUCUCACUCUACGAUUCCUGGGAGGAUACAAAGACUAAU
rnacentral:lncRNA from 13 species